CUACGGGACGCUCCAGCCGGGAAUCGUGCGCAAUGGACGAAAGUCUGACGCCGCGACGCCGCGUGAGGGAUGAAGGCCUUCGGGUUGUAAACCUCUUUUACUUGGUGGGAGACCACCUUGAGAAUAAGCACCCGCUAACCACGUGCCAGCAGCUGCGGUGAUACGUGGGGUGCAAGCGUUAUCCGGAUUUAUUGGGCGUAAAGCGUUUCGUAGGCGACUUGGCAAGUUGUUCUUCAAAGACCGAGGCUCAACCUCGGGAAGGGGAGCAAUACUGCCGAGAUUGAAAUUCUUCGGGGCUUACCGGAACUAUCGGUGUAGGGGUGAAAUCCGUUGAUAUCGAUAGGAACACCAAGGGCGAAGGCGGGUAGCUAGGAGAACUUUGACGCUGAGGAACGACAGCUAGGGGAGCGAAAGGGAUUAGAUACCCGCGUAGUC
rnacentral:rRNA from 1 species